GAUCCAAGCCUCUGCGGGAAGAGCUGGUGGGAGGGUCGGAGCCGGCUUCCGGUAGGGCUGGGACUGGCGCUGGGGCCGCAGGACAGAAGGCGUGGCUGGGGACGCUGGAGGGUUGGGGUGGGGAGGCCGACGGGAUCCGCAGCUUGCAGCGUCGGUUCGGUACCCUCGGAUCUCCUCUAGGAGGAUGUAGGAUGAGACGGAGAAUCACAUUCUUCAGACCACCCGUCUAUCUCGCACAGGCAGACAGAGCACGUCAUGGGUCCUGUCUCCCAAAAUUUUACCCAGAAUUGACCUUAUGCUAUAUGGCUUUGGAUUUCUUGAUUAGGUAAGGCAAAUAUUUUUCCCGGGCAUAUUCAAUUUCAGCCAUUUUGUUUUUCUAAACUUCCUGCCUCAAACCUUCUUCAUUCUGUUCUUCUUGACUAAAUAUUUCCCCCUUCCUACUCUAUUAUAGGCAGACGACUUAACUUUCCAGAACUUGACUUUUUAAAG
rnacentral:lncRNA from 1 species